CACCUCCAGCAUCCCCAGUAUUGGAGGCACUGCCUGCCCAGUGACUAGACGUUAAACGGCUGCGGUAUCCUGACCGUGCAAAGGUAGCAUAAUCAUUUGUUCUCUAAAUAAGGACUUGUAUGAAUGGCCACACGAGGGUUUUACUGUCUCUUACUUCCAAUCAGUGAAAUUGACCUCCCCGUGAAGAGGCGGGGAUAAAUCAACAAGACGAGAAGACCCUAUGGAGCUUUAACUAAGUAACUCAAGGAAAAUAAAUUCAACCACCAAGGGAUAACAACACUCCUUAUGAGUUAACAGUUUCGGUUGGGGUGACCUCGGAGAACAGAAAAUCCUCCGAGCGAUUUUAAAGACUAGACUAACAAGUCAAACCAAACCAUCGCUUAUUGAUCCAAAAACUUGAUCAACGGAACAAGUUACCCUAGGGAUAACAGCGCAAUCCUAUUCAAGAGUCCAUAUCGACAAUAGGGUUUACGACCUCGAUGUUGGAUCAGGACAUCCCGAUGGUGCAACCGCUAUCAAAGGUUCGUUUGUUCAACGAUUAAAGUCCU
rnacentral:rRNA from 1 species